rnacentral:rRNA from 1 species
GUGGGGAAUUUUGCGCAAUGGGCGAAAGCCUGACGCAGCAACGCCGCGUGGAGGAUGAAGGUUCUCUGAAUCGUAAACUCCUGUCGGCCGGGACGAAUGGACGGGAUGCUAAUCAGUUCCGUCUUGACUGUACCGGCAAAGGAAGCCCCGGCUAACUCCGUGCCAGCAGCCGCGGUAAUACGGAGGGGGCAAGCGUUACUCGGAAUUAUUGGGCGUAAAGGGCGCGUAGGCGGUCCCGCACGUCGGAGGUGAAAUCCCCGGGCUCAACCCGGGAGCUGCCUCCGAUACGGCGGGGCUUGAGUCCGGGAGAGGGGAGCAGAAUUCCCAGUGUAGCGGUGAAAUGCGUAGAUAUUGGGAGGAAUACCGGUGGCGAAGGCGGCUCCCUGGACCGGUACUGACGCUGAGGCGCGAAAGCGUGGGUAGCAAACAGGAUUAGAAACCCGAGUAGUCC